UACGUAGGGGGCAAGCGUUGUCCGGAUUUAUUGGGCGUAAAGAGCGUGUAGGCGGCCAGACAGGUCCGUUGUGAAAACUAGAGGCUUAACCUCUAGACGUCGAUGGAAACCGUCUGGCUAGAGUCCGGAAGAGGAGGAUGGAAUUCCUGGUGUAGCGGUGAAAUGCGCAGAUAUCAGGAAGAACACCCGUGGCUAAGGCGGUUCUCUAGUACGGUACUGACGCUGAGACGCGAAAGCGUGGGGAGCGAACAGG
rnacentral:rRNA from 1 species